UACAGAGGGUGCAAGCGUUAAUCGGAAUUACUGGGCGUAAAGCGCGCGUAGGUGGUUCAGUAAGAUGGAAGUGAAAUCCCCGGGCUCAACCUGGGAACUGCUUUCAUAACUGCUGGGCUAGAGUACGGUAGAGGGUAGUGGAAUUUCCUGUGUAGCGGUGAAAUGCGUAGAUAUAGGAAGGAACACCAGUGGCGAAGGCGACUACCUGGACUGGUACUGACACUGAGGUGCGAAAGCGUGGGGAGCAAACAGG
rnacentral:rRNA from 1 species